rnacentral:rRNA from 1 species
GACGAACGCUGGCGGCGUGCUUAACACAUGCAAGUCGAACGGAAAGGCCCUGCUUUUGUGGGGUGCUCGAGUGGCGAACGGGUGAGUAACACGUGAGUAACCUGCCCUUGACUUUGGGUGACAUCAGGGAAAUGGGGGUGAUAACGGAGAAGAAUUUCUUGUGCCUGGUGGGGGUUGGGAAGUUUCGGCGGUUGGGGAUGGACUUGGGGGUUAUCGGGUUGUUGGUGGGGUAGUGGCUUACCAAGGCUUUGAAGGGUAGCCCGCCUGAGAGGGUGACCGGCCACAUUGGGCCUGAGAUACGGCCCAGACUCCUACGGGAGGCAGCAGUGGGGAAUAUUGCACAAUGGGCGGAAGCCUGAUGCAGCAACGCCGCGUGCGGGAUGACGGCCUUCGGGUUGUAAACCGCUUUCGCCUGUGACGAAGCGUGAGUGACGGUAAUGGGUAAAGAAGCACCGGCUAACUACGUG